UAUUCAUUUAUUAUUCUUGUAAUAGGUUCCCCAUCCCUUGCUCUCUUACUUCUUCUGUCGCCCUUAUGAUGCAGAUGUUGUUACACUU